rfam:Schistosoma rodhaini strain Burundi genome assembly, scaffold: SROB_scaffold0013738
AUCCAGCUGAUGAGUCCUGAAUAGGACGAAACGUGCAUCCUGGAU